GCGCUGCGCCCAAGCAGAGCGGAAUUCGAGUGACCCCAGCGCCAGGCGAUGAAAGCCCGGAGGGGCAGAGAGUUAAUUCUGCAGCCGCCUGGGUGGGAAACACGCUUCCCUUGGGGCCUGUCCUGUGCUUUGCAGGUUUCCAAGGAAUCAGCAGGAGGGAAAGGACUGUAAAUCUGUGUAGAGGAGUGGGAGAAAGGACAGUCCCCUGUGCCAAAUGGAGCUCCCUGUGCUCUUCGGAAAGAACCGACAACUGUGAAAUCACAGACAUGAACUCAAAAUGUGAUGGGCGCCAAUGGAGGGGCGAAGGAAGGAAGGGCAAAGUGGACACUAAUUAGAAACUGACUGAAGAGCAGUAGCUAGAGAUCGCGCUUUGUAGUGCGGUGGCGGGUGUGUGUGAUGUUUAUGCAAAUCUCAGCUCCGGCUUCCCCCAUACAACGGCAAACCCCGGCUUCUCCCCCGCUCCUGGCUGCCAGAGAACUGGAUUUCCUUGGCUGCGCUCUCCUACUGGAAGAUGAAAUCGUUGUUAUCCGCUCUGUGUUUGCUGUCCGUCUCGCCCUGGGUCCUGUCCGCUACGCAGCUGGUCCAGUCCGGCCCAGGAGCGGUGAAGCCCGGAGACACCCUCACACUGACCUGCGCUGUCUCUGGGACCUCCAUUAGCAGCGAUACCGCCUGGCAUUGGGUCCGGCAGCCUCCCGGGACAGGGCUGCAGUGGAUGGGAUGGGUGUAUCCAUAUGGCGGGAGCACAGGCUACGCCCCGUCUCUCCAAGGCCGAACCACCAUCGCCGCAGACACCGCCAAGAACCAGUUCUCGCUGCAGCUCCGCUCGCUGACAGCUGCAGACACCGGCACCUAUUACUGCGCCCGGCAGGCGCACAGUGACACGGAGCAGAGCGUUCGUACAGAAAGGGGAAGUAAUUUCCACACACCCGUUCAGGGCCCUUGGACAGGAAUUUCCCCUGUAGUGGCUGAGGCACCGGGGAUAUUUACAGGAGGCAAAAGGAAUAAAAUGGGUUUAUUCAACCUUGUUCCCUGUAAAGAGAGACUUGGAGAAGGACUCGUUCCGCCCCAUAGCAGGAAAGUGACGAGCACACACACACACACACACAGAGCCCUCAUUCUGAUAAAGAUCAAAGCUGUAUCUUCUCCUGAUGCCCAGUUGCCUUCCCUUUCGUUAAGGCUGUUUGUCAGACGUGUCUAAAACCAGCCUUUCUUACUGUGACGGAGCAGGUCGGAUUUGACCUGGGAAUGUUGCAGGGAGGUUACAUUGGAGAUGGGAAG